rnacentral:rRNA from 1 species
CCUACGGGCGGCAGCAGUGGGGAAUAUUGGGCAAUGGGCGCAAGCCUGACCCAGCAACGCCGCGUGACGGAAGAAGGCUUUCGGGUUGUAAACUUCUUUUGUCAGGGAAGAGUAGAAGACGGUACCUGACGAAUAAGCCACGGCUAACUACGUGCCAGCAGCCGCGGUAAUACGUAGGUGGCAAGCGUUGUCCGGAUUUACUGGGUGUAAAGGGCGUGUAGCCGGGUUGACAAGUCAGAUGUGAAAUCCUGCGGCUUAACCGCAGAACUGCAUUUGAAACUGUUGAUCUUGAGUACUGGAGAGGCAGAGGGAAUUCCUAGUGUAGCGGUGAAAUGCGUAGAUAGUAGGAGGAACACCAGUGGCGAAGGCGGUCUGCUGGACAGCAACUGACGGGGAGGCGCGAAAGCGUGGGGAGCAAACAGGAUUAGAUACCCGAGUAGUC